UCGUAACAAGGUCUCCGUUGGUGAACCAGCGGAGGGAUCAUUACCGAGUGUAAAAACUCCCAAACCAUUGUGAACUUACCACUGUUGCUUCGGCGGCCUCGCCCCGGGCGCGUUCGCGCGGCCCGGACCCAGGCGUCCGCCGGAGGCUUCAAACUCUUGUCUUUUAGUGUAUUUCUGAGUGGCAUAAGCAAAUAAAUCAAAACUUUCAGCAACGGAUCUCUUGGUUCUGGCAUCGAUGAAGAACGCAGCAAAAUGCGAUAAGUAAUGUGAAUUGCAGAAUUCAGUGAAUCAUCGAAUCUUUGAACGCACAUUGCGCCCGCCAGUAUUCUGGCGGGCAUGCCUGUCUGAGCGUCAUUUCAACCCUCAGGACCCGUUCGCGGGACCUGGCGUUGGGGAUCAGCCUGCCCCUGGCGGCGGCUGGCCCUGAAAUACAGUGGCGGUUCCCUCGCGAACUCCUCCGUGCAGUAAUUAAACCUCUCGCGGCAGGAUAGCGGUUGAACCACGCCGUUAAACCCCCCACUUCUCAAGGUUGACCUCAGAUCAGGUAGGAAUACCCGCUGAACUUAAGCAUAUCAAUAA
rnacentral:misc_RNA from 1 species